CUGCGUACUUACACCAUCUUGGUUAAGGGCAUGAUUUCCCUCCGCCGGUCCUUCCGCCCCGACUCAGUACGUCUGCUUCCUCCACCCCUCUCAGGGAUGGGAAGUAUCGUUUAGCGCUCCGUUGUACGGCUCGUUUUGGUGUCAGUGCGGCAGGAGGACGCUGCGGGGCGCUCUCCGCCGGGCAAAGAGGAGUAAAGCGGAGUAAAACGGAGUAAAGCGGAGCUGGGAGAUGCAUCGGGCUGUGUCCGGGCGUACCUGGAGGAAGCCCGGACCGAAGCGCUGGCCACAGUGAGUGACCGGGGCAGUUUGGGAAAAGGAGACGACCGCAUCCUGGGUGACAUCUGCCGGAGGGCACGGGGGAAGAAGAGUCAAGGCUUCGCCUCUCUGCCCUGCUCCGAGUGCAGCCGCUAUCUCUUUCCUGCCCGGGGAGCAAGCUGUGCGGGUGGCCCUUGCCCUGUGAGGGUCUGAAGCGCGGUCACACUGGGGCAGAUAACUUCCUUAAGGUCAGAAGUAUUACAGCGGUUGCAUCUGAUCAGUUGUGCUAGCAUUCACAGAUACCUUUGUGAAGUCUCUGCACAGUGCAUGUGUUUACUUCAGUGUCCUCUGGAGAGGGAUAGAGCCUUUCAAAUCAGGUGCAGCACAACUUGACUGCACCCCAAAUUUAUGUGUGCUGGGAGAAAAAAAGGAGUUAGGAGUCCUUCCUUUCUUCCACCUUUCCUACUGACGGAGUCUUCUCUGACCAAGAGAGCAACUCUCACAAAUGACCUCGAGAGACUUUACAGUAUACCCCUAGCCUGAAAUGAUGGAAGAUUUACAUCAGAUAUAAGGAAGAAAUAUUUUACAGUAAGGAUGACGAGGCACUGGAACAGGUUGCCCAGCAAGAUGGUGGAAGCCCUGUCUUUGGAGACGUUCAAGGAACUUGAAAAAGCAACGAGCAAGAGUGGAUUAGACACAGAUACUGAAAAAUAAAGUUCUGCUUGUUCGGAUUCAGUGCAUGUGGAGAAAGAAAACGAAUCAACGAGUCUUGUGGCUAUCCAAAAAAAUGAACAGUACUUGAAUCAACUGCACGAGGACAGCACAAAACCUAGAAGACAUUCACUUUGAAAGAGCAACCUCUUAAAAGCUCUCUGGAAUUUUGUCUACCUUGUGUACUGCAAUCAGUUGCAUCAUCAAGACAAAAUCUCAAAGGCUGUCCCAGGUUCAAGGAGGAUUAACUCAAAGCCAGGCCUCUUAGGAACGUUCUUAAGCAGAUCCUGACGUGUGCAGAGUUUGGUCUCCUAGGAAAAGAGGCUCUUACUUAAGUGGCAUAGUGCCUUGUUUUAAAGGCAGAAAGCAUGGAUUAAAUUUGGUUCUGAAGUGCUGUGCAUAGCGUUUCAUGCUACAGAUUUUCAAGGAGAGUUUACUUGUGCCCUUUGAUACUUGCUCCAGGGGCAGUAUUUGUGCAGGCCCGGUGACUGCUUUAUCUUUUGCCUUCACUGUGAUCAAUAUAGGCAAAUAAUUAAAAUAACUGAAUUUGAAACAUCAUAGAGCGUCUGAGAGUUAAGGUAGCCAAGAAAGACGAGCUUUUUAUCAUAGCAACAAUGCAACCACCUUUGAAUGUCACGUACUGCAGCCACAAAAAGAAGAGUAUUGCCUUGAAACCUAUCACCUUACCUCAGCUCCCAUGUCAUUGUCAGUUGUUGUUUUGUACUGUGCUACUUGUCCUUAGGAAAAUCUGUGGGCUAGCGUGUGGGAAGUUGACAUAGACUUUACUCUGGGUCUGAUGUAAGAGGAAUUCAUACAGGCUGCUAUUGCCCUGUUGAGCUGUUCUUUGGCUAUCACUGAAGUAUAGUAUAGAAUAGUAAAGAAUUGCUAUAUGAGGGUUAUUCUUUGUGACAUCUGCUUUUAAGUAUAUAUGAAACUGUGCUAUCGAACAAGAUUCCAUCUCAAAGCUGAGAUAUCUGUUGCCAACAUUCACUCAGGAGAGGGCAGGGCUGCCAUGAGAGGAAGAAACUGAUGCUGCUGAGAUUUUAAGUAUAGAUGAUGUCACAAUAAAUAGCAAGCUAUAUGAGUAGCUUUAUUCCGCUGGCUUUCAGCCCACCUUGGAAGCAAGGUCUGGCGACAGCGCGCUCCUCCCUUGCUGCUCCCCUUCUCCCCCUGGCCCGCCCCUGCGGCUCCCUCAGUCCCGCCCCGGAGCAGCAGACGAGGACCCAUUGGCCCCCGCCCUCCUCUUCUUUGCAUAGGGGAGGCCGUGUCCGCCCCAGGCACCGCCCCUCACGGGUGUGCAGCCGUGCGCGCGCUGUUGUGGCACGUGAGGGCGGCGCACGUGGGUCCGUUAUGUAAAGCAC
rnacentral:lncRNA from 1 species